CAAUAGCGUAUAUUUAAGUUGUUGCAGUUAAAAAGCUCGUAGUUGGAUUUCGGAUGGGACUUGCCGGUCCGUCGUUUCGAUGUGCACUGGCCAGUCCUAUCUUGUUGUCGGGGACUAGCUCCUGGGCUUCACUGUCCGGGACUAGGAGCUGACGAGGUUACUUUGAGUAAAUUAGAGUGUUCAAAGCAAGCCUACGCUCUGAAUACAUUAGCAUGGAAUAACACGAUAGGACUCUGGCUUAUCUUGUUGGUCUGUGAGACCAGAGUAAUGAUUAAGAGGGACAGUCGGGGGCAUUCGUAUUUCAUUGUCAGAGGUGGAAUUCUUGGAUUUAUGAAAGACGAACUUCUGCGAAAGCAUUUGUCAAGGAUGUUUNCAUUAA
rnacentral:rRNA from 1 species